UAAUCAGUGUUUGCCAGAGGCUGCUUUCAAAAGUUUUGUCUCAUCUCGGAUUCAGAGAAAGAAGCUCAGUGGAGUGUGACAGAGGCCUGAAAGCAUCUCCAGGAACGUAUUUCAUCUGAGAGCUGGCGUGUCUGGGCAGACAGCAGACUUUAUCCACUAUGAAUGGGCACAAGUGUUCACAUCACAUGAGCUAUGCUUUGGUCUCUGGCUAUGCCUGCAGUUCUGCCCUGGUCUCCAGCUAUGCUCUGGUCUCCGGUCCUGCCUGAGGCACCACCCUGGCUUUCACCUUUGCUAUGGUCUCUGGCUCCUCCUGCGGCACCACCCUGGCCGCUAGCUCAGCUCUGGUCUCUGGUUUAGCCUACAGCUUUGCUCUGGUCUCUGGUCCCGCCCACAACUCCGCUCUGGUCUCUGAUCCCUCUGCCGGCUCCGCCCUGGCUUCCUGCUCUGUCGGCUCCGCCCUGGCUUCCUGUUAAGCUGGACUUACUCUGUUUUCUCCAGCAUCAUGAACUUACUAAACUUACUUACGAACUAAAAUGUUCCUAUUCUCAUAAUAAGUAAUGUGUGUGUUUUGGGUGUGAUUUGUAAACUAAAAAACUAAGCGCAGGAAGAAGACCACCACUUUAACAUUGAUAUAAAAAAAUUGAGUUGUUUUCA